GCCGGCCUGCUCAACUGGUAGAGCAACUGACUUGUAAUCAGUAGGUUGGUUCAAGUCCUCUGGCCGGCACCA
rnacentral:tRNA from 1 species